rnacentral:rRNA from 1 species
ACGCGAAGAACCUUACCUGGACUCGAAAUCUAGUUGACAGUCUCAGAGAUGAGAUCUUCCCGCAAGGGACGGCUGGAUAGGUGCUGCAUGGCUGUCGUCAGCUCGUGUCGUGAGAUGUUGGGUUAAGUCCCGCAACGAGCGCAACCCUUACCCUUAGUUGCUAAUCCGCAAGGAAAGCACCCUAAGGGAACUGCCUCGGAUAACGAGGAGGAAGGUGGGGAUGACGUCAAGUCCUCAUGGCCUUUAUGCCCAGGGCUACACACGUGCUACAAUGGCCGGUACAAAACGUCGCAAACCCGCGAGGGGAAGCCAAUCGUCAAAAACCGGUCUCAGUUCGGAUUGCAGGCUGCAACUCGCCUGCAUGAAGCUGGAAUCGCUAGUAAUCGCGUAUCAGAACGACGCGGUGAAUACGUUCCCGGGCCUUGUA